rnacentral:piRNA from 1 species
UCCAAAUAACUCACAAGGUAUAAGGCAUGUGC